CUUCUCUCAGGAUCGUACCUGGAGAGUUUCUAGUACUCUACCAGUCUUGGCUACAGGCGUGAGUGUCAAGCAGAGGUAUACCCAUUCCAUUCCUAGCUUGGGCAGUGACUAGUGAGUGGAAGGCAAGCUGCUACAAGU